CUACAUUCCACUUAUAUUUUACAGUCUGUUCUAGAAAUAUUAAGGCAGUGUUGGGAUGAUUCAUUAUUCUGUAGUUGAAUUGGCUGGUGGCACAAAAUGGAGCACGGAUCUAACAACAGCUGAAAAGAUUCAAAAUAGAAUGAAAAAGUCAAAUAGGUUGAAUGGCUGUCUGUUGUUCUUGCCAUUUCUUAUUUUGUUAUGUAUAAAUCUAAAUGAUCAAUUAUUGAUAACCUUUUCAGGUUCACAAAAACUUGGCCUUCCAAAAAAGGGGCAUAUACUGGUCCUGGAAACUGACGGAACUGAGAUUGAUGAUGACGAAAUCUUAUUGGAGAUGCAAUCAGAAACUUUAAUAAUACUGAUGGAAGGAGAGAGCUGGAUCCCACAGACACCCAUAGAAGAACAGGAUGUUCAACAGUGGAUGAUAGAACCCCUCUGCCUCCAUUUUCUGCCCUGGUGCAUAGAAGUCUUCUGGAUGGCAAUUCAAGAGGGAUAUGGCAUAAAAUGGUUGAUGAAGCAUCUAAUUAUUACCUGGCUAAUUAUCCCAGCCUAAGUGACAGUUCUGAAUACAAGGCCAUUGGAAAAAAAGCGGUACAGCAAAUACCCAUGCAUUAAGCAUGAAGGGAAUGAACCGUGGUCCUUAUUUUCUAAGUGCCUCAGUCAGAAGAUGAGGCACAUGAGGUGGUCUUUAAAAAGGAAAAACCUGCCCAUUGACUCCAGUUCAGCACCAAUUAUGGCAAAGAAAGCCCAGGUACCUACCAUACAGAGGCCUGAAGAACGGCCCGAUGAAGAAUACGACCGCCAUGUCGAAGAAUUAAGAAAAGAAUUUGACAAAAAUAAGCCUGAUGACAAUCACAUAGACAUUCUUCUUAAAGAAACGUUUGGCAAUCGUCGAUUGUGGCUGACCACUCUUCCAGCUGGAAGAAUUAAACCAAUUGUUGAAGUUUACCCUUGUUUUGAAUGGGGAAAAUUUGGAGAUCUCAGAAUGCUACCUGUAAUUCAGCUCACUGAAGAAAAAACUAAAUUUGAUAAAGGAAAGGGGAAAAAGUCAGUUUCGGUCAUCACUGUAU